rnacentral:rRNA from 1 species
AACGAACGCUGGCGGCAGGCUUAACACAUGCAAGUCGAACGGGUGUAGCAAUACAUCAGUGGCAGACGGGUGAGUAACACGUGGGAACCUUCCUAGGGGUACGGAACAACUCAGGGAAACUUGAGCUAAUACCGUAUACGUCCGUGAGGAGAAAGAUUUAUCGCCCUUAGACGGGCCCGCGUCGGAUUAGCUAGUUGGUGGGGUAACGGCCUACCAAGGCGACGACCCGUAGCUGAUCUUAGGGGAUGAUCAGCCACACUGGGACUGAGACACGGCCCAGACUCCUACGGGAGGCAGCAGUGGGGAAUCUUGGACAAUGGGCGCAAGCCUGAUCCAGCCAUGCCGCGUGAGUGAAGAAGGUCUUCGGAUUGUAAAGCUCUUUUGCCAGGGACGAUAAUGACGGUACCUGGAGAAUAAGCCCCGGCAAACUUCGUGCCAGCCGCCGCAGUAAGAC